rnacentral:rRNA from 1 species
AGUGAACGCUAGUGGCGUGCUUAACACAUGCAAGUCGAACGGACGAUAUUUGUGCUUGCACAAAUAAAGUUAGUGGCAAACGGGUGAGUAAUACAUGAGAAUUUUCCUUGCAGUACGGAAUAACUAUUGGAAACAGUAGCUAAUACCGUAUAUUGCCGAGAGGUGAAAGAUUUAUCGCUGCAAGAUAAGCCCAUGCAAGAUUAGCUUGUUGGUAAGGUAAUGGCUUACCAAGGCUACGAUCUUUAGCUGGUUUGAGAGGAUGAUCAGCCACACUGGAACUUAGACACGGUCCAGACUCCUACGGGAGGCAGCAGUGAGGAAUAUUGCACAAUAGGCGAAACCCUGAUGCAGCGACGCCGCGUGGGGGAUGACGGCCUUCGGGUUGUAAACCUCUUUCAGUAGGGAAGAAGCCUUUGGGUGACGGUACCUGCAGAAGAAGUACCGGCUAACUACGUGCCAGCCGCCGCCGUAAG